AAAACUCGUACCUAAUUUUUAACCGCUUCGGAUUUUACGAUUCAAAAGUUUAAAUUCCCAAAACGGACUAUCGUACAACAAUUUCAAACGGACUGCACUCCUAAAUUAUUGUAUUCCGUAUACGAGCAUACGCAUAAAUCUUGCAUUGUUUUGACGCUGACGAAUUUAGUAGCCCGCACAUGUAUUAGUGAAAAAAACUUUAACUCUCUCUUUGCAGUUUGUCGCUCUUGGGGGAGGGAAAAAAU